AGUAGAUAUCAACUGGCCUAGGCCGUUAGCAGUUUGUUCAUGAACUGUCCUCCUGGCUCGUGUGUUUGAACAGCUGUAUAGCUGGUAGUGUUAUUUUAAGAACUUGUGAACCUCUCUGGUGCAGCUGGCUCACUGAAGACAGGCGCCUGAGGGUUCUAGCUUGGCCUCUCUGUUUGCUUCCCCAUCCAGUCUCCAUGUGAGGAGCCUCAUAGUCUCAUCACCAGCACUAAGUAGCUCCUCAGGCUGCUGUGCCUUCCUUACAUGAUGAACUGAAACUCCCAAAACCAUAAGCCAGUGAAAAGCUUCUUCUCCCUUAAGCUGCUUCCGUCAAAUAUCCCUCACGUUUCUUCUUCAAGGUCUGACCCAUCUACUUCCCCCUUCUUGGUCCCUUGGUUCCAGCUCUGUGAGUCUGGGAGGCUGCUCCAAGAGUCCCUGGCAAGAUUUAUGGCGGCUUACCUGGUGUCACACUCAAGCCUCUUUCUGCUAUUUUCUAAGAAUGGGAAGGACAAGAAAGCCAGCCAGAAAUUAGGAACAACAUUGGUGUCGACUCGGUGACCUUUCCAUCCCGAUGCCUGAGGCUUUGCCUCUGGGCUUCACCGGCACAAGGUCUGAACUGACCGCCUGCAACCACCUCCACCUGUUUACCAUGGCCAUCUAACACCGACUGAUCCCAUCUUAACGAUGACCCAGCUACUCGAAAAGCCAGACAGAUACGAUUUCUUCAAUCAGCCACCUCAGACACCAGCCAAGACUUCAAACGCCAGCGGACACCAGUGAUCCCAAGGACACCAGCGGCCUCAAACGCCAGUGGGACAUCGCCAGAAUAAUCGGACAUUCCCUGGGUCCCCCGACGCCCAAAGCCAGCAGGAAGCAGUCAUGAGAGACCGGGCUAUGCCCCCAUUCCCUACCCUUUAAGGCC